UUUCAGUUAAUGACCCGGAUGAAGCCUGUCCUUCAAACACAGGUAAGUGGUCUCUGCUGAAGUCACUGGGAUCUUGGCACAUGCUCAUGAAGGUGGAGGUUGCCCAUCUUUAUUACUCACUAAAUUAUGUCUUAGAAUCUACUGUGUUAUUUCUGCUUGCACCAGGACUUAGAGAUUGCUGCAUAUUUAAAAAUAAAAAAUAAAAACAACUUAAAUCUACCAGACAAUGGUGUCUAGUCACGAAUAAAAAAGAAAAAAAAAAAAAGCUUUACAGUGAUAUGAAGGUAAAGAAAUGAGUUCCAUAUGGCUGUGUGUGUUUAAGAGCACAGAUUUAGCAGGGAGGCAAUGGGGGCUGGGACCCUUUAAUUUCUGCUAUGCUCUGUGUCACAGUGAUGAGGGAAAGUUCUUGCUGGCACCAACGCGUUGCACCUAGCCCUGCUAUGAGAUACCCACUCUCCAGUGUCCUGCCUAUCCCACGUGCUCUGAGUUUCUCAGCCUGAGUAAAUCAUUUUUCACUCAGCUACCAAAGAUUUUUAUGCUUGUGGUUUCCCAGAGUCAAAUCCUUGGUGUUGGUCAGAAGAUGUCACGUAUGUGCAUGUCAUUUACCUUGUAAACCACAACUUUUUAAAGAAGCAGAUGCAAAGUAUGUAGGAGAACUAAGAGCGCUGACCCAAUCACAACAGCAAUCUCUUUUUAGAUCGUUACAGUAUGUAACAUCUCUGAGUGAAAUGGAGUUAAUCAUCCAAACCUGUAAUUUUCAAGUAAUCUCCAAUUCUGGAUUGUUGUUAUGUCAUUACCAGCAGUAGCCAGCAUUUGCAAAGGAGGCAGCAGAGAGUUUCUGUUAAAAUGAAAUCAAAAAUAUUUUUUAUCAGUGGCAUGUUUAAAAGCUGAAGCAUCUGAAUGCUUUUUUGCAGUCUGUAUCAGAGAGUCAUACCUGGUGAAUCUCUGCCUAAAUCAGUGGCAGCAGAGGGAGCGUGUAACAAAGAAGAGAAAAAAUCGCCUCGUGUAAGAUUAUGGAAAUGCCAUGCAAGAGGCAUAACACGGCUGUGUCCCGAUCGGGCCAAGUACCCUUUGGAGAAGUUUUGCUCCAGAUGCAUCAGCUCAGGGCGGCUGCUGCUACCGAGGAGUCCCGAGAUGCUCCAGCCUUCUCCAUCCAUGUACCACAGGGGACCCACGGUGCAUUCCGGGAGCCAAACGCAUGACUCAGAUCUCUGUUCCUCCAGCGGCUCGAACUGCACGCUGCUGGUAGCUCUGCACCAAACCAAACCCGUGCUGGACCCAGCAAAACCUCUCCUGGUCAGUGGCGGAGGAAGCACAAGCACACGUAGCUCUGCACGGCUACCCCACAGGAGCCAUCCGAGGUGUAGGUCGGGCUGUUAUUAUCCCUGCUUGGGAGAAAGGAAACUGAAACACGCCUCAGGUCACCCGAGGAAAUCUGUGCUGGAUUAGCACCUGAAUCAUUUGUUCUGGUCACAGAAAUGCUAAUUUCAUUAGCAUUUCAACAUCUGAGCAGAGCCCUGAGUGAUAUGGCCACGAAGAUGCAGGUAUUUCCAGCCCCAGUCCUACCCCACUAAGCUUAGCGGUGAAUUUCUUUGGCAGUGGAUUGAAAUCUAACCAAAUAUUUUCUUUGGGCUUGGUUCUCCUUUCAUUGGCAUUGUUUUAUGCAGAACUG
ensembl:lncRNA